rnacentral:lncRNA from 1 species
AUUCACUCUCUAUUUAAUCGCGAUCAGAUGGUCCAGAUUAAAAGCGAUGGAUAGCCCAGAUCAAAAGUGGAUGGGUAUAAAUAACCCCAUCUGCACCCAAACCCUAACCCUAGCCGCCAAAGCCCCUUGCCGGAGAAGACAACCCAGUUGCCCGGGAGCUGACCGCCGCCACCCGCUGCCGCACCGGAGAAAUUUUUGAGUGCCAAACGAGGUAAAAAUUUUACUCUUUACUCAAAAUUUGAUUUUAAACACAUCCAUAACAAAAUCGGAGUAAAAGGAUCGACCAAUUGACCGAAAAAUGAUCGCAAAGCCCUGCGGGGUAUUUCAAAAAUUGCCU